rnacentral:lncRNA from 1 species
AGGUUUUCAUCCUUCUGGGUCUGGCAGCCAUUGCUGCUGCAGACAGCUUCGAAUCCUACGAAUACCGACCACCACAGAGACGUUAUUCCUCUGAGGAAUCCUACGAAUCCGGGGAGGCCAAAUACGACUUCAACUGGGCUGUCAGGCACGAGGAUUCCGGCAACAACUUCGGACACCAGGAAGCCCGUGACGGCGAAGACACUCAGGGAUCCUACUACGUGCACCUUCCCGACGGCCGCCUGCAGACCGUCAAAUACUUCGUUGACGGCGACUCCGGCUACGUGGCCGAGGUCAACUACGAGGGCGAGGCUCGUUUCCCCGACUCCUACGAGUCUGCUUCCUUCGAGUCUCGGGAAUACAGGCCACGAUACUUCUAUGACUCCAACGAGUCAAAGUAAAGGAUUCUCUUUUUCAUCAAACGUCAGGAUAUGAAGGCUUUUCAAUGAAAUCUUAUUUAUUUAUUUAUGUACAAAUGUAAUAAAUCUG